GUCCGUUGCCUCUGAAUCUGAUGUGCCGAUUGGAUUGCCGCAGGAGGCCAGGAAGGCCACAAGUGAGGCAUCCAGCUCGACUUCGCCAUGCGGGUGCGCUGCACAUUCCACCCAUCGCCGGCAAAUCAUUCGUCAGCUGGGAAGGUGAGCAAGCAGGUACUGCCUUGCGCUUUCUGUUGUUCAUUUUCCAUUUCAUUUCUUGAUCAGCGUUCGCGUCACCACUUCAGAAUGCUGUUAUCUGAAGCUUAUCUUGUUUUCUUUGACUCAAAUAUUAUUGUGAGUACGCCAUUAUAUUAUUUGUUAGAUUUUUUAUCGAUCGAGUAGAUACUUUUCGAGACAAAAUGACUCGUGUCUGAAACUUAUGAUCUCUCCAGUGUACUUACAUUUUGGUAGCAUGUGCACUUCAUAAUUAUAUUAGUAGAAGCACUGCUUAUAUUAGCAAUUUAUUAGUACAUACUCUCCAAUUCACCACGCCUGCACAUUUUGACCGGUGUACCCUGAUAAUUUAUUAGCUUUGUGAUCGAUCAACAUAUCGUUUAGAACCCAAAUGUACUGUUAUCUGAAGCUUAUUGUUUUAUCGGUGUAAUUCGCAUGCUGAUGAUUGUACUCUCCAGCUCUCCAGGCUUGAACAUUUUCGUCAGUGUAACCUGAUCAUUUCCUAGCUUCUUCAUAAUUGAUUAGACCAUCAGAUACUACAUUGCCAAUUUUCCGGUAAACUACUACAGUAUCAUUUUCCAAUUUCAGGUAUGAAUAUUGCUAAAUGUAAAAUUCUCUUGCGGGCGAGAAUAUGUGUUGUAAAAAUUUAUGAAGUAUUUGUAGUGCCUAUUUUAUUUUCUCAAAUAUAUUAGUUUUUCCUCAAUAUUUCUAUUUUUGAGAUUUUGUGACGGGGGCCUUUGCGAGAGAACUUUUUGUAGGAGGCAAAAGUGGUAGGGGCACGGACCUGUCCAAAAGGCCCUACCCUAGGACGUCCCUAGAAAAAGUCACCUUUCAAUCGACUUGAAGGCAUCCCACUCGACGGGUUCAAGACACUUGACCAAGAAGCUAUCACUCGACCAUGAAGCCAACCACUCGACUGCCAGGAGACCUAAAGUCACUCCGCAGGCAAACGGUCGGUUAUUAAGUAGUCUUUAUGGUCAUUAUAGCACUUUAUUAGGGGCGUUACCAGUAACGCCCAACCUUAAAUGUACCUUAAACCCUGCAUUACUGAGGGCAGGAGGGGGCCGGCGAACUCUAUAUAAGCCACCACCCUUCUCAGUAUGGAGGGUUCGCACCCCUGUGAUCCAUACACGCAUAAUCCAAUCGACCGCCUCUGGGCUCCGAAACGUAGGGCUAUUACUUCCUUCGAGAAGGGUCUGAACUCGUAAACCUCGCGUGCUUACAACUUCUUCAUAGCUGAGAUCUAGCCUCUCCAUACACACCCCCUACAUCACUGUCAGAGUUAGAACCACGACAGUUGGCGCCCACCUUGGGGCAGGAAUCUUAGCGCUUAGUUGGAGAAAUUGCGAUCUUUUUCGAUCCCUAUGAUCAUGGUUUCUUGCGGAGUUUUGGUGCAGGGCCGCGAGAUCCGUCUCGGCGCGCUCACGUUCAUCGCCGACGACUCUGCCUGGCUUCAGGAGGCACCACUCGACAUCGACGCGCUCCCCGUCUGCGGUGCGACGCACUUCCACGCGUGCAUUCGUGGCGUCCUCCUGCGGCAGCCGUCGACCCAGUAUCAGUCGGCCCCCGUGUCGUCUCCCCACCCUGUCUCUCACCAGCGCAAACGCUCCGGUCGGUCGAGACUUCAGCGGUGGGUGAGGCAUGUCGUGGCCCGCCAGUCGGCAACCCCACAAGUCGCGGCAAUCGGGCCCGACGAAUCCCUCUGCGGCCUGUUCGACCCGUCGACUGGCUCUGCGGAGACCGCAUCCGAGUGCGACAGCAACGACCCAGCGGCUGAGGUUCUGGCGGUCGAUGGAACGCACAGUCCUCCCGGUUUCCCUCGCGCUGAUGGAGGCGCGGAUGGGGGCAACCCGUCGCAUCCCCACGAUGAGUAUCUCCCCGAACCUCUCACGUCAUUACAGCGAGAGGAGCUUCGCCGCCGGAACAUGAACGCACUCCACACUCCUAUUGUCGGAGAAACCCCCGAGGCCCGGGCCUUGGAGCACGCGCGCUUGGCUAACCUGGCCGAGCGCACUCGACUGGAGAAUCUCCAGCGAAUACUCGACGAGCAAGCGCGUCAGCGAGCUCCCGAGUCCAGCCGACGUCAGCAAGCUCCCAAGUCCAGUCGGCGUCAACUCUUCCCGUCGACACAGGUAUAUCGAACCCCAGUUUAGAAUUUGGCCGCCGCAGCCCGUAUAACAGAAUCGAUUCAGCCCUCCCAGUCAGAGGCCGGCAGGGGCUUGUUACAGAUCAGAGCGUUGCUCCGGGCGGCGGGGAACCAGAAUUCCGCCGUUUCUCAGUCGCGAAAUAGGAUCCACAGUCGAUCCGUUGCAACAGAUACAGUCCAGUCGGCUCAUAGCCCGAGAUCGCCCCCGAGGCGUGAGGGACGUGGUGACCGACAUGAUCAGUACAGGAGGAAUGAGCAGUACGACCACCGAUCCGAUUGUGAUGAUCGACGUCGAGUGCCAACCCCUCCCCCGAGGAGUGGGUCAUAUGCGCCUCGACAGCGAGAUGACAGGCACCCUCAUAGUGUUGGGCGGAGGAUGUCAGUCGACCCCAGGGACCCAGGCUUUGAUGCGAGAUCCAUCCUCGUUCAAGGUUUGGUUGACAGGAACAGAGCUCAUCGAGAAGGCCACAACAGAGAUGCGCCUGCCAGCAGCAGAGUGCACGUUUCGGGGCCAGAGUGUUUCAGUCGAGCCAUCAGAGCCGAAGUGAUUCCUCCCAACUUCAGGCUGGCGAUUGGAGUCAGCAAGUUCACCAGUGAAUCUAAGCCUGACACUUGGCUCGAAGAUUACCGAGUGGCUGUACAGAUUGGCGGUGGCAAUGAUGAGGUGGCCAUGAAGCAUUUGCCUCUCAUGUUAGAGGGCUCAACCAGAGCGUGGCUAAAUCAGUUGGCACCCAGCAGCAUGUACACUUGGGAGGACCUCUCCCGAGUGUUUGUCACAACCUUCGAGGGAACAUGCAAGCGACCCGCAGGCCUUACGGAAUUGCGGUCUUGUGUGCAGAAGCUGAAUGAAACUCUGAGGGAUUACAUCCAGAGGUGGAUCACUCUGCAUCACACGGUUGAGAAUGUGCCAGAUCAUCAAGCAGUUUGCACCUUCAAGGAAGGCGUUAAAUACAGAGAAUUGAAUCUGAAGUUCGGCCGAACUGGAGAGAUGUCUCUGAAACGGAUGAUGGAGAUUGCCACCAAAUACGCUAAUGGUGAAGACGAAGACCGACUCCGGAGUGGCAAGCACAAGGCAGUCGCCCAAGAAAUCGGAGGGAACUCCAGUCGGAAGCAAAAACGGAAGGCCGAGCCAGCCGCCCCUGAAGAGGCCCUGGCCGUAGCCCAGGGAAAAUUCCAGGGAAAACCCAAGGGGCCCUGGAAACUCAAGAAAGUUAAGGAUCAAGAUGGAAAUGAUGUUUUGGAUCUGCCAUGUCACAUCCACACCAAGAAAGAUGAAGAGGGUAAUUUUAUUUACCCAAAGCAUACCACUCGACAGUGCCGGCUCCUGAUCCAGCAGUUUCAGGGCAAGCAGCCCAAAGAUAAGGAAAAAGAGUCGGACAGAGUUGAGGACAAGAAAGGUAGUGAUGAUGGAUACCCCCAAGUCAAUUCCACCCUGAUGAUUUUUGCUGAUGUCGAAAGCAAAAGUCGACUGAAAGUCAUUAACCGCGAGGUGAACAUGGUUGCUCCAGCAACACCCAGUUACCUGAAGUGGUCUCAGACUGCCAUCACAUUCGACCAGUCUGAUCACCCGACGCACAUUGCCACCCCCGGGAGGCAAGCUUUGGUGGUCGACCCAGUUGUCGAAGGCACUCGACUGACCAAAGUCCUGAUGGAUGAUGGCAGUGGACUGAACAUACUGUACGCUGAAACAUUGAAAGCGAUGGGCAUUUCGAUGCCCAGACUCAGUACCAGCAACAUGAGCUUCCACGGAGUCAUUCCAGGGAAGAAAGCCGAAUCACUCGGCCAGAUUGCUCUUGAUGUGGUUUUCGGUGAUUCAAAGAAUUACGGCAAGGAAAAGUUGACAUUCGAGGUUGUGGACUUCCAAAGUGCUUAUCAUGCCAUUUUGGGCAGGCCAGCUUACGCACGCUUCAUGGCUCGACCAUGUUACGUAUAUCUCAAACUGAAGAUGCCUGACCCCAAAGGUGUGAUCACUGUUACGGGCAACCGAAAAAAAGCAGAAGAGUGUUUUUAGAAAGGCUCAAAGAUCGCUGAUGCUCAGAUGGCAGCGGUCGAGCUGCAAGAGUACCAAAAGACUGCCGAUCCAAGUGAAUUGCUACGGGCCAAGAAGCCUGCUUCAGAAUCAGCUUUUCAGUCGUCCGGCGAAACAAAGCCAGCCCACAUUCACCCGACCGACCCCGAUGCUGCCCCGACUCACAUCUCAAUGACGCUCGACUCCAAAUAGGAAGAAGCGCUCGUCCAGCUCCUCCGUGAGAACUGGAACAUCUUCGCAUGGAAACCCUCUGACAUGCCUGGAGUUCCCAGAGGGCUGGCUGAGCACCGUCUAUGAGUCGACCCAAAAGUCAAGCCUGUGAAGGAACAUCUUUGACGGUCCGCCGUCCAGAAGAAGCAAGCCAUUGGCGAGGAGCUGGCUCGGCUCUUAGCAGCGGAGUUCAUCCGAGAGAUUUACCACUCCGAGUGGCUCGCCAGUGUCGUCAUGGUCCCCAAGAAGGACAAGUCACUUCGCAUGUGCAUUGAUUUCAAACAUAUCAAUCGGGCCUGCCCGAAAGAUCAUUUUCCUCUCCCUCGCAUCGACCAAAUAGUCGACUCGACUGCGGGGUGCGAGAGAUUGUCUUUUCUAGAUGCCUAUUCCGGGUACCACUAGAUCCGUCUGUAUGGACCCGACGAGAUCAAAACAGCUUUCAUCACUCCAUUCGGAUGCUUCUGUUACGUCACCAUGCCGUUGGGCCUCAAGAACGCCGGAGCCACGUUUAUGAGACUGAUUCAGAAGUGUUUACUCACUCAAAUCAGUCGGAAUGUGGAGGCAUACAUGGAUGAUAUUAUGGUCAAGUCACGGAAAGGUUCCGACCUGCAGACUGACCUUGCUGAAACCUUUGCCAACCUCAGGAGGUAUGAUAUCAAGCUCAAUCCAUCAAAGUGCACAUUCGGAGUUCCAGGUGGAAAGUUACUCGGUUUUCUCGUUUCUGAACGGGGGAUCGAUGCCAAUCCUGAAAAAGUUGGCACCAUACUCCGGAUGAAGCGUCCCGUACGCGUGCACGAUGUCCAAAAGCUUACAGGCUGCUUGGCCGCCCUAAGUCGAUUCAUUUCUCGUCUCGGUGAAAAGGCGUUGCCUCUUUACCGACUGAUGAAGAAGUCUGACAAGUUCGAGUGGACUCCAGAAGCUGAUGCAGCAUUUGCAGAGCUCAAAGCUCUGCUCUCCACCCAGUCGGUGCUUGCUGCCCCAAUCAGCAAAGAGCCUCUGCUGCUUUACAUUGCAGCCACAGGACAAGUUGUCAGCACAGUACUUACGGUCGAGCGGGAAGAAGAAGGAAAGGCCUUCAGAGUUCAGCGCCCAGUCUAUUAUGUGUCUGAUGUUUUGACCCCUUCAAAACAAAGAUACCCUCACUACCAGAAGGUUGUAUAUGGGAUUUAUAUGACCAUGAAGAAGGUUGCACAUUACUUCUCUGACCACUCCAUUACAGUCGUCAGCGACGCCCCGCUGUCAGAGAUUCUGCAUAACAGAGAUGCAACUGGUCGAGUGGCCAAGUGGGCGAUUGAACUCCUUCCCUUAGAUAUCAAGUUCGAAGCAAAGAAGGCUAUAUCAAGUCCCAAGCAAUCGCAGAUUUCAUCGCCGAGUGGAUUGAACAGCAACUUCCGACUCAAGUUCACUCGGAGCACUGGACCAUGUUCUUCGAUGGAUCUAAGAUGCUGAAUGAUUCCGGUGCUGGGGUAGUAUUAGUUUCCCCCCGAGGAGAUAAGCUCAGAUACGUUCUCCAGAUUCACUUCGAUUCCUCCAAUAAUGAAGCAGAAUAUGAAGCACUUUUAUAUGGGUUGCGCAUGGCCAUUUCACUCGGCGUCCGUCGCCUCAUGGUCUAUGGUGACUCAGAUUUGGUGGUUAAUCAGGUGAUGAAGGAGUGGGACGUCAGAAGUCCGGCUAUGACUGGCUAUUGCAAUGCAGUGAGAAAGCUAGAAAGGAAAUUCGAGGGGUUAGAGCUUCAUCACAUUCCCCGACUGAAAAAUCAGGCAGCUGACGAUUUGGCAAAGAUAGGCUCCAAGAGAGAAGCCAUUCCCAGCAACGUGUUCCUGGAACACAUUCACUCACCGUCAGUCCAAGAAGAUCCUUUUAUAGAGGAAGCCCCGCAGCCGAAAAGUGCCACAGAUCCGACUGAAGUCGAAGUUCCUGUUGUGGUCGACCUAAUCAUGGAAGUGUUGGCAAUCACUCCUGACUGGACGAUACCGUACAUCGCGUAUAUCCUAAGGAAAGAACUCCCAGAGGACGAGGAAGAGGCUCGACAGAUCGUCCGACGAUCCAAGGCCUUCACAGUCAUAAAGGGACAGUUGUAUAGAGAAAGCGCGACUGGAAUCGGGCAGAAGUGCAUAACACCAGAAGAGGGUCAGAUAAUCCUUGAUGAUAUCCACUCGGGGACCUGUGGUCACCAUGCGUCCUCUCGGACCAUUGUGGCUAAAGCAUACCGAGCGGGAUUUUACUGGCCAAGAGCAAAUGAGAUGGCAAAGGAGAUAGUCGACAAGUGUGAAGGGUGCCAGUUCUACUCCAACAUGUCACACAAGCCUGCAUCAGCCCUGAAGACCAUCCCACUCGUCUGGCCCUUUGCCGUCUGGGGACUAGACAUGGUUGGUCCACUGAGAACGGGCAGGAGCGGUUUCACUCAUGUACUUGUGGCAGUCGAUAAAUUUACCAAAUGGAUUGAAGCUAAGCCCAUCAAGAAUCUUGAUGCUUGCACUGCUAUCAGUUUCGUCAGAGGACUAACAUUCAGAUAUGGAGUCCCGCAUAGCAUCAUCACGGACAAUGGGUCAAACUUCGAUUCGGACCAGUUCAGAGCUUUUUGCGCCUCUCAAGGCACACGAGUCGACUCGCAUCGGUCGCCCAUCCCCAGUCGAAUGGACAAGUCGAGAGAGCAAAUGGUCUGAUUCUCAAAGGACUAAAGCCUCGACUGAUGCGUGAUCUCAAGCACGCAACAGGCGCUUGGGUCGACGAGCUUCCGUCAGUUCUGUGGGGAUUGAGGACCACCCCUAACCGGUCGACUGGAAGAACUCCAUUCUUUCUAGUUUAUGGAGCCGAAGCAGUUCUGCCGAGUGAUCUUCUUCACAACGCACCCCGAGUCGAACUCUACACUGAAGAUGAAGCAGAACAAGCCCGGCAAGACGCAGUCGACCUCCUAGAAGAAGAGAGGGAGAUGGCCAUGAUCAUAUCGACCAUUUAUCAGCAAGACUUGCGUCGAUUCCACGCCCGGAACGUGAAGAGUCGAGCCUCCCAAGAAGGAGACUUGGUCCUCCGAGUGGAUCAACAGAAACCACACAAGCUUGCUCCUACUUGGGAAGGCCCCUUCAUCGUCACCAGAGUCCUCCACAAUGGAGCGUAUCACCUCUACAAUGUUGAUCGCCAGAUCGAUGAGCCACGAGCUUGGAAUGCGGAACUACUCCGCCCCUUUUACACUUGAGUUCUCCCUUGGACGAGAUGUAAUAAAAAAAAAUUCUGCAGUUCAUUUUUAUCGAAGACAAGAGUGUUCCAAUAAUUGCUGUCACUUUUGUUUGCUUACGAAAGCCCCCAGUGGGUGACUUAGCCGCAAAUCCGUUUCGCCUAGGUUUGAAAAAAUCCUACCGAGUGGAGAGCAACCCUCCCACUCGGGGGCUUAGCUGCAGUCCAGUACUCGCCUAAGUUCUCUCACUAAGAGACUUAGCUGCAGUCAGCACUCGCCUAAGUUUGAAAAAAUCCUACCGAGUGGAGAGCAAUCCUCCCACUCGGGGGCUUAGCUGCAGCCCAGCGCUCGCCUAAGUGUUUAAAAACUCCUACCGAGUGGAGAGCAAACCUCUCACUCGGGGGCUUAGCUGCAGCCCAGUACUCGCCUAAGUUCUCCCACUAAGAGAUUUAGAUGCAGUCAGCACUCGCCUAAGUUUGAAAAAAUCCUACCGAGUGGAGAGCAAUCCUCCCACUCGGGGCCUUAGCUNNNNNNNNNNNNNNNNNNNNNNNNNNNNNNNNNNNNNNNNNNNNNNNNNNNNNNNNNNNNNNNNNNNNNNNNNNNNNNNNNNNNNNNNNNNNNNNNNNNNNNNNNNNNNNNNNNNNNNNNNNNNNNNNNNNNNNNNNNNNNNNNNNNNNNNNNNNNNNNNNNNNNNNNNNNNNNNNNNNNNNNNNNNNNNNNNNNNNNNNNNNNNNNNNNNNNNNNNNNNNNNNNNNNNNNNNNNNNNNNNNNNNNNNNNNNNNNNNNNNNNNNNNNNNNNNNNNNNNNNNNNNNNNNNNNNNNNNNNNNNNNNNNNNNNNNNNNNNNNNNNNNNNNNNNNNNNNNNNNNNNNNNNNNNNNNNNNNNNNNNNNNNNNNNNNNNNNNNNNNNNNNNNNNNNNNNNNNNNNNNNNNNNNNNNNNNNNNNNNNNNNNNNNNNNNNNNNNNNNNNNNNNNNNNNNNNNNNNCUCGAGGGCUUAGCUGCAGUCGAGUACUCGCCUAAGUUCUCCCACUAAGAGACUUAGCUGCAGUCAGCACUCGCCUAAGUUUGAAAAAAAAUCCUACCGAGUGGAGAGCAAUCCUCCCACUCGGGGGCUUAGCUGCAGUCCAGUACUCGCCUAAGUUCUCCCACUAAGAGACUUAGCUGCAGUCAGACACUCGCCUAAGUUCGAAAAAAUCAUGCCGAGUGGAGAGCAAACCUCCCACUCGGGGGCUAAGCUGCAGCCCAGUGCUCGCCUAAGUAUUUAAAAAUCCUACCGAGUGGAGAGCAAACCUCCCACUCGGGGGCUUAGCUGCAGCCCAGCGCUCGCCUAAGUGUUUAAAAAUCCUGCCGAGUGGAGAGCAAACCUCCCACUCGGGGGCUUAGCUGCAGCCCAGCGCUCGCCUAAGUGUUUAAAAAAUCCUACCGAGUGAGAGCAAACCUCCCACUCGGGGGCUUAGCUGCAGCCCAGCGCUUGCCUAAGUACAGGACACAACCCAAUCCGCAAAGACGACGAGGUGCAAGUCGACUGCUACCUUCUCCUUCGGAGCCGCACCACAAAUACAAAAGUUAUUUUGAGUGGAGAUUGAGUUCCACUCAACGGAUCAUCCAUGAAGAUAUUCAAUGAUAAAUCAAGUUCAGAUAAGACCUAAAGGUUCCAGACCUCAGACCAAAGUACUCGAGCCCUCAGCUCGACGGAGUUUAACGGUUACAAAACCCACUCGGCAUUCCGAGGCAAAUUUAAAGUGAAGCGUAAAAGUUUUUCAUUCCUCAGGUGGAGGACUGGAAGGGGCGACGAACUCGUCCAAGUCGAUCCCAUCUGCAAUACGAGUGGUAGCAGCAAUAAAAGUCUCCAUGAAGUCUUGAAAGUUGUGCCUUCUGGUAUUGGCAACUUGGAUGGCGGCCAGCUUCUCUUCUCGCGCCUCCUUGCAAUGGACGCGGACCAGAGACAGAGCCACAUCAACGCCACACCGAGCAGAAGACUUCUUCCACUCCUGCACUCGGUCAGGGAUUCCGUUAAGUCGAGUCAUCAGAGACUCGAGAUCAUUUUGGAGCGUAGACUCUGGCCAAAGUGCCGGGUCGAUCCGCGACAUGGCAACCUUCAGUCGAGUCAAGUAAUCCACGACGCCGUCAAUGCGGGAUUCCAGUCGGAGCAGAUUCAUGGCAGCUUCAUCUUUCACGGGAGAGUUGAUUGGAUCCAAACCUGUUUCGAUCCGCCUAGUCUCCUCUUCAAAGUUCUGGCAAAACUCUGCAUGCACGAUCCAAGGAUAAGUCAAUUUUCAUAGACUGAGUCGACACAAAAAAACACCAGUCGGAACUGAAUAUGCACCUUCAAGCUUGAUGUACAACUUCUUGGCGAGGCUCCUCAAGUAGCUCUCCAGGUCGUCCCUCCUGCGAGCGAUGCCUUCCAUCUUCUUGUUCAGGGUGAGGUUCUCCUUCUUCCAACAUGUACACUCCCUGUUGGCUUCAUUCAGAGCGGUCUUCAGCUUGGUAUUCUCUUCUUCUAAUUGGCCGACCGAAGCCAGCUUUUGUGCGGCCAGAGCGGUCUUGUCAUCAGCCUCCUUACAGGCAGCAGCCAAGUCCUGAUCCUUCUUCGCCAGAGCUUCGCUCAGUUUUUCUGCAAAGAAAUGAUGAUUGAUUCGGAAAUAGCAGAAGGGUACUCAAGCCUAAAAACUAACCAGUCGACAAAGUCGUCUUACCUGCGGCGCCGUCUUUGACCUUCUGCAGCUCUGUUCUGGUCAGCUCCAGAUCAAGGUUCAGUUGAAUCUGCUGCCUCUCCAACUCAGUAUAGCGAGCUACAAGUUCGCAGGAUUUCUGUAAAAAGAAAAAUCAGUCGACAGACGUCCAAGAUAAGUUGCUUCCGAGUAACUAAGAGACAAUGAUGACGUUUCUAAGACCACAACCGAAUCAAAAACAUUCGACAGUAGUCUCGGGGACUACACCCAGUGGGUGCACUCAGCGUGCCCCCACUGUAAAAAAAGAAAAAAAAAGAAAAAGAGAGUCAACUGCCUGCAGUCGACCGGAUACAGUUCCAUUCGACAUGGCCUGACCAGACCGAGUGAAGAAAUGCAGUUACGGCAACACAAUAUAAAGACUACAGUUGACUGCCAGCAGUCCACCGUAGUCUCGAGGACUACACCCAGUGGGUGCACUUAGCGUGCCCCCACUCGUCCAAGAAUUGACAGACACACCCAGUGGGUGUACAAAUACAAAGAUCUUCGGAAAAGAGAUUCUUCAAACAGCAUAUCGUAACAGACCAAGUGUUGAGUCGACUGACCUGGAUGUUACUCUGAAGAGCCGAACUUGCGUCGUAAGCUGCUUGGCUGGCCUCCCGAGCCGCCUUCACUUGCUCCAUCAUGAUCCCCGCCUGGCGUAUAGCCUCUUUUGCAGCAGCCGCUUGGUCCUCAGGGACGGGGUACGCGGCAAAAAGCGAAGGCGGAUCCGCAGUCGACGUCGAGGGCCGCACACUCGUCAGAGGAAUGGCGAAAGUCACAGAAGCCUGAGUGGGUUCGCCAUCGUCUCGAGCUACGGCCUCAGGCGCCGGAGUGGAUUGUGGGGUCUUGUCAGCCGACGCCCUCUUGUUCCUCCUCACUCUCAGCGGUUCGUUGUCGUCGUCAUCCGGGAGGUCGAUAACAUGAGGAGGAGCUACAAGGAAAACAUUCAAUCGACCAGAAUUGCAAUAAAUGUUCAGUCGACUCAAAGCGGAACGUCAGUAAUCGUACCAGGGUUGGAGGUAACAGCAUCCUCCAUCUCUUGGUCGUCGUCCUUGGUGGAGACCUCAGAAGUAGCACCGCUGCAAAUCUCAAAAGUCAGUCAGUUGACUCAAUGAAUCGACCAAGGAUCUGUCCACGGUCGACAAAGGAAAACAAGUAUUAUUAUUAUUACCCAGAAAUGGUAGGAACAACUAUCUUCAUCUUAGGCAGAGCCUUGGGCGGCUUGGACGGCGUCGCGCGUGGGUGCUUGGGAGCCUUCCCAGUCGGCGUAGGAGAAGAGGUCCGAGGGCGUUUCGACGACUGCCAACCAGGAGCAGUCGCGUUGCCACGUUCCCGCGCUGGAUCGUGUGUGNNNNNNNNNNNNNNNNNNNNNNNNNNNNNNNNNNNNNNNNNNNNNNNNNNNNNNNNNNNNNNNNNNNNNNNNNNNNNNNNNNNNNNNNNNNNNNNNNNNNNNNNNNNNNNNNNNNNNNNNNNNNNNNNNNNNNNNNNNNNNNNNNNNNNNNNNNNNNNNNNNNNNNNNNNNNNNNNNNNNNNNNNNNNNNNNNNNNNNNNNNNNNNNNNNNNNNNNNNNNNNNNNNNNNNNNNNNNNNNNNNNNAACCUCCUCCUCCUCCUCUUCGCUGGAGUCGACGUCGUCGCCUCCCUCUCCUUCACCGUCCGACUCCCACUCGCCUUGAUCGUCCCCACUCUCGCCUCCGCUCGCCUCCCCUUCCUCAGUCAGCUCCUGUGCCCCAUUGGGCGUCGAGUACAUCUCGGUAGUCGCCUGGAAAACAACAGACAAGACAAAAGUCAAAUCGACCAACUCAAAGAAGACCAAUGAAGGAAACAAGACCUCAGUCGGGAGCAUAAAGACAUACCCGGUCCACUUCAUAUGAAUUGUCGAGUGGAACUACCCUCCUGGCUCCUCGGGGGUUGUCUUUGUUCCCCGUGAUGCUCGACAGCCACCCCUCCAGCAUCUUGUCAAUGACCUCCUCCGGGUGGACCCGAGUGGUGUCGUCGAGACCCGAGUACAGCCACAUCGGGUGGUCACGAGCCUGGAGCGGUUGGAUGCGCCUCCGGAGGAAGACCUCCAGCAAGUCCAUACCAGUCACGCCCUCACGGACAAGCUCAACCACUCGACUAGCCAGCACUUUGACAUGGGCCUUCUCCUCCGGCGUCACUUUCAGAGAAGCAGGUUUUUCAGCUCGAUCGAGAGAGAACGGAGGAAGUCCAGUCGACUGCCCUGGGGUCGCCUGGUCUUGACAGUAAAACCAGGUCGCCUGCCAACCGCGGACCGACUCUAGGAAAGUGAUGGAUGGAAAACAACUCUUUCCCCUCAUCUGGAUCGCCAGGCCCCCGCACAGCUGGAUCACCUGCAUCCUCUCGUCACUUGACUUGGCCUUCUUGGCCGAUUGAGAACGGCAGGUAAAGAUGUGCUUGAAGAGUCCCCAAUGGGGGCGGCAACCCAAGAAAGCCUCACACAUGGAAAUGAAAGCAGCAAGGUAUACGAUGGAGUUGGGAGUGAAGUGGUGGAGCUGCGCUCCGAAGAAGUUCAGGAAGCUCCGGAAAAAAGGAUGGGGCGGCAGAGAAAACCCGCGGUAGAUGUGGGUGGCUAGGAGCACGCACUCACCGUUGCGGGGUUGAGGUUCGAUCUCUCCCCCCGGGAGACGCGCAGCUUCGUGGGGAAUGACUCCCCCCUCGACCAUGUCGUCGAGAUCCUCUUGCCGGAGCACCGACGGCAUCCAGUCGCCCUGGAUCCAACCUUUGGGCAGAGCGGUCCUUGAGGAAGAUCCGCCCCGAGCAGACCUCUUCCCUUUCCCCGGCGCCGCCGCCUUCUUCGCGCGCUCCAGAGCAGACGUCUUGCCCUUCACCAUCGUCGCCGGCAAAAUCUCGGACGGGCUUGGGGCGCUAGGGUGAGAGCGGAGGUGGCGGAGGAACUUGCGAAGGGAGAGAGGAAGAAGAAAGGAGAAGAAAGCGCACUGUUUGGAAACCCCGAGCCGGCAACUUAUAAGGGGCCGCUUCCGAGUGGCUGACUGGUAGGCCCAGGCUAUCCAGUCAAAUCCCACAGCAGACGCGCGCGCAGUACGUGGCGAAAAAGGCGACGCGAGGAUCGAGGAGCUUCCGCUUUAUCGCUUCCGAUUGCUGCGGCCGCUCCCGUCCCGCGCGCUUCGCGAAAUCCGAAUCCCGCGACAUCCGCGGGCCGCAGAACAACUUGUCAAAACGGAAUACCCCGCCCGCGCCGACACUCGGUAUGCCACAAGUAAAGAAAUUCACUCAACGAAAGGCCUGGAAUGGAUCAAGGCGACUGAAAGAGGUUGAUGACGUCAUCCGUGACGGUUGGCCCAAAACGAGGCACUCACGUAGCCCGAAGAACCAGUCGGAAAGAUUUUCAACUCUUUCCCCACUCUAACCUCGAUCCAUUCGGGGGCUAAUGAUGAAGCCAUGUACCUAGGGUAGGGGCACGGACCUGUCCAAAAGGCCCUACCCUAGGACAUCCCUAGAAAAAGUCACCUUUCAAUCGACUUGAAGGUAUCCCACUCGACGGGUUCAAGACACUCGACCAAGAAGCUAUCACUCGACCAUGAAGCCAACCACUCGACUGCCAGGAGACCUAAAGUCACUCCGCAGGCAAACGGUCGGCUAUUAAGUAGUCUUUAUGGUCAUUAUAGCACUUUAUUAGUAACGCCCAACCUUAAAUGUACCUUAAACCCUGCAUUACUGAGGGCAGGAGGGGCCCGGCAAACUCUAUAUAAGCCACCCCCCCUCCUCGGUAUGGAGGGUUCGCACCCCUGUGAUCCAUACACGCAUAAUCCAAUCGACCGCCUCCGGGCUCCGAGACGUAGGGCUAUUACUUCCUCCGAGAAGGGCCUGAACUCGUAAACCUCGCGUGCUUACAACUUCUUCAUAGCUGAGAUCUAGCCUCUCCAUACACCCCCCCUACAUCACUGUCAGAGUUAGAACCACGACAAAUAUGUGUUGUAAAAAAUUUAUGAAGUAUUUGUAGUGCCUAUUUUAUUUUCUCAAAUAUAUUAGUUUUUCCUCAAUAUUUCUAUUUUUGAGAUUUUGUGACGGGGGCCUUUGCGAGAGAACUUUUUGUAGGAGGCAAAAGUGGUCACGAUCAAUCACAACAUGUAUCCAACUAUUCAUCAACCAUCCUAAGACUCAUACACUCAGAUCCAAACAUGAGCCAGCUACAAGUCCAUCAGACCUAAGAAAAAAGAUCAACACACUGCUUUCUUGCAAUCCAGUAGGAUUCCUCUCUUCAAUUACAUACCAUGAUUUGUAAAAUGAAGGAGAUAAGCAUGAGAAGCAAGAAAUCACAACACCAUUCCAAAGCAUUGUAAACAAUUAUAUACAGAUUUCUUCCUAUCCCUAAAAAUUAUAGAGCAAAA
rnacentral:lncRNA from 1 species